AACGAACGCUGGCGGCAGGCCUAACACAUGCAAGUCGAACGCUGUAGCAAUACAGAGUGGCAGACGGGUGAGUAACGCGUGGGAACAUUCCCAGUGGUACGGAAUAGCUCAGGGAAACUUGGGGUAAUACCGUAUACGCCCUUCGGGGGAAAGAUUUAUCGCCAUUGGAUUGGCCCGCGUUGGAUUAGCUAGUUGGUGAGGUAACGGCACACCAAGGCGACGAUACAUAGCUGGUUUGAGAGAAUGACCAGCCACACUGGGACUGAGACACGGCCCAGACUCCUACGGGAGGCAGCAGUGGGGAAUCUUGGACAAUGGGGGCAACCCUGAUCCAGCCAUGCCGCGUGAGUGACGAAGGCCUUCGGGUUGUAAAGCUCUUUUGACGGGGACGAUAAUGACGGUACCCGUAGAAUAAGUCCCGGCUAACUUCGUGCCAGCAGCCGCCGUAACAC
rnacentral:rRNA from 1 species